UUUGAACAAAAAAACACCUGGUUUCACAUUUCGAUGUUUGUUUUCUAUAAAAAGCAUUAAUUGUUAAAAAGAAAGGGGAGAAAAAAGCAAGAGGAAGCAAGAAAAAUCGUAAAAAAGCAAGAAGAAAAAAAAGCGAAAAAACGAGAAAAAGCGAAAAGAAGAAAGAAGAAAACGAGAAGUAACGAGAAGAACCAGAAAAGUUAGUGCAAGAAGAGAAUGCAAGACAAGCCAAGAUAAGCUGCAAAAACUGCCUUCAUGACAAACAACAAAGGUGGAAAUAAAAGGUCCUCUGACCUACACAACAUGGCGAAACACAUGAUCCAGAUACAUCCCCAUAUAUCGUAUGAACUUCCUAACACAGACGAACCCAUCGAAAAUAGAAAAUACAAAAAUACUCAACGUAUGUUUAAAAAAUAAAGGUUUCUAUAAAGACAGUUCAAACUUGUUGUAUAUACUUUAAACACAUGGAGGAUGUUAUAGCUAACUAGAUUGUUAAUUAUUUUAUUAACCAAGAAUCCAAAGCAACCAUUUAUCGUA